GCCUUUNGGGUGNGAUUCUGUGGAGNGUGAGGAGUUUAACNCCUUCAUGCNUACCUAUUCCUGGNCNUUGGGUGUACUUGCCCGUAUGGUUGGUUAACAUCAAUUUUGGUGGUCAUAAAAUGACUGGAGGAAUGUAGCUUCGAUCUCGUAUUGAAGUGUUAUAGCCUUCGGUAGAUGUGAUGAUCGAGAUUGAGGAUUGCAACGGAUACCCUUCGGGGCUACCUGUCUGAUCUCUGAUCGUUGCUCUGGUGCCGAAAGCUUGCUUACGGUUAUCAAAGUCGAUGGUCAAUAGGUUAGAACGGGUUAAAUUCGUUAAGGAGUUGACGUA
rnacentral:rRNA from 1 species